UGAUCAGAUGGUGGUCACUAGGAUCAGUUUGGUGGGAAAAACUAAGCCGAAGCAUCACACCUGUACAAUGCACAAAACUGAUAUUUAUCCAUCAAUGGGAUGGGAGGGAUUUUCAUCAAACUCUUCUCGGACAAGUGUGAUCUCAAGUAUCACAAGCGACAAACAAGAACUUCCUGUUCAGGAAACCUCAAAGAACAUAUAAGCCACGCAGAACGGCUAAAGCAGCUUGUUCACCAUCUUGACCUCUCUUAUGCCCUCGAAUGGGCCAGUGAACGAACGCAAAGUAGUUCUUAACAAGAUACAGUGUUGAGUUGGGCACUUGCCUAUUGUAACAGCCAAUGUAAGAAUUCAGAUAAGUGUUCCUCAUUUUUCUAAUAAAUAUAUGUCGUAACCUUUUCUUUAAUAAACGAUUUCACUAAGGAGAAUUUUCAACAAAAA